CAGAAUCUGCACCGGUAACACCUGCCUUCUAAAUCCACCAGAAAAAUUCUCCCCAUGAGUUCCUACAACUCCUACCUGUGCCCUCGCAUGCCCACCCAAAUCAAACUCAAUAGUUUACUUGAGGAAUGAGACGACCGAGGGCCUAAACAAUCAACAAAUGCCAUAUGGCAACUGGCUACUGGCUAACCACCACAGAAUAUUCUAUCUGAUUCCAUAUUUUUUUCUCCUUUUCUUUUAAUGAUAUAUUUAAACGACGUUUUCU
rnacentral:misc_RNA from 1 species